AUUCGGUCGGUACGUGACCGCGGCUUAGUAGAUCAUUUCAAAAGUGAAUUAGCAUCAUUGAAUCUGUGUUGCACAAUCAUUGACGCGGGGCUGCGCGGUAUAUGCGGCUUUUCUUUGUUUUCCUUGCGCAGAACUUUUUUCGUAAUGUUGCAUUACGAUACGACACCGUACGCAAGUUGCUGCCAUACGCAGCUGUAUUAGUACAAUACGAUCAUCAAUCUUUCGCAAGACGCAGCUCACCUCGUGUUGAGCAGCGCGCUGCUACGAUGCGAAAAAUAGGUUUCUCGUUCUCGAAGUAACAUAUGGUACGUGGCUGAAAGAGCGUGCAAAUGCUCACGCAUGGUCUCAUUGUCAUGGUCGUCUUCGAAAUGACCUACUCAUCAAAGCUGUGUAUGGGUAGUUUCCAGCGGGUCGAUGUCCGUAGACCAAAAACCCUGGGCCGACCCCGAGGAUAGUGCUAUACGAGGCCUACCCACGGCAGAGGGGAAGCAGUCUUCAAGCACUAAGUCAGCUUGCAAAAAUAAGUUUAAUAUUUUGGGUCCAAAUGCAACCCGUAUCAGAUAUUAAGCUGAUAGGAACAGAUACUACACUUUGACCUGCAUCGGCGAUUUGCGCACCUACCACUACUGAGGACGAUUACCAGGGCUGGCAAGAUCACUUGGUAGAUCUAAAUAAAGAUCUUCAAAUCAUGAAAUACUGGCUUACAAGGGCAAGCUCUACAGUGUGCUGAAAGAGGCGCAGUGAAGUCCUUCUUCAGGUCAUUAGCAUGCUCCCUCAUUCGGUCAUUGACGCAGUGGCCUGUUUGUCCUACAUAGGACUUUCCACAAGACAGGGGAAUUUCAUAAACCACCCAGAUUGUGGCUCAUCUUAGGCACAUACGGAACAACUUCCGGCCUUAGGUCACUCCGCUCGCCGGCUCUUGCCUCAUUCACUGGAGUGCCCGCUUUUGGCCUCUGUUGCAGGGAUUCGGUCACUCAUGUUGGGACUGAACGAGGUAGCCGGCUUUUGAAAGCCGAAUGAACUGCUUGUAAAAACUGUCCUGCACCUUGUGUCCGCAGGUCCUCUCGAGUGCUAACCCCAGAGUCAAGCUAUAGCUUUUUUGACAAGAUUGGAAUGCGUGGUCCAACACAAUAAAAAAAUCAUCAACGUAUCUAAAACCAUUAAAAAACAGGUGAACCGUGAAGGUUGUUGUCAAGAGUUUUGUAUAUUUCCGACAGGUCUGUCACACAGUAAAGGUACUACGCACGAUCCUAUGCAUAUGCCCUUCUUAAGCAAAGACAACCGGUUGUCACACGUGACAAAAGUGCUCUUCUGGUAGGUCUCAAGUAAAACUAAAAAGUUGUCCACACACAUACCGAUAGUAUUUUGAAAAGAAACAUCCCCGUUAACUUCAACACACUUCCGAACAGCAGUAAAGAACGCGUCGUGGGGCACGAAAUAGAACACGUGUUCAAUAUCAACAGAGAAUGCUUAACCUAGGUUCCGAGUUUUCUGGAAGAAUUUGCUGAUGUCAUCGGAGUUUACAACGGGAAAAUGAUCAUGAAUGUCAAGUUCUUUCAAGCCCUUUAAUAACAACCUACUAACUUGAAGUUGCCAUGUGCCGCACUCGCUUACAAUCGCUGUCAAAGGAACAUCUUACUUGUGGGUCUUUGCUGUAAAGAACAAGCUCAAAGAACCACACGCGCUCUUGUCAACGCUCUUGACGAGCUGCUGCAGCUCGUUCUCUUUAGAAAGUCUCAAAAAAGCCUUCUUAGCUUUCGCAAACUAGUUUUACCAGUGAACAGGAAGCCUCGAGCUUGCUUCUUCCCGACACCGCCCAGGCUGCGGGAGCAGCCGGGGACUUUCUCCAUCGGCGUCGCCGCCGCUGCUAGGCGGCUCUCAAAAGUUCAGAGUUGGCAGAUCAGCUCUGGGCCGCGCGGCAAGCCGAAGAUGCCGCCCAAGUCCAAUGACUUCGAGCCGCCACCUGAAGCCACCACAACAAAAACUGCCGGACCAUUCUUUAAUAAAGCCGUCCGGCAAGCUGAAGAUGCCGCCCGAGUCCAAGGACUUCUAGCCGCCACCUGAGGCCAUCACAACAAAAACUGGCGGACCAUUACUGGCAACUAGAG